GCCUCGAUGGUGUAGUAGUACAGCAUGUGUCCUUAGCAUGAAUGAAACGCGGGUUUAAUUCCUGCCUGAGGCC